CUACGGGUCGCACCAGUAGGGAAUCUUCGGCAAUGGACGGAAGUCUGACCGAGCAACGCCGCGUGAGUGAAGAAGGUUUUCGGAUCGUAAAGCUCUGUUGUAAGAGAAGAACGAGUGUGAGAGUGGAAAGUUCACACUGUGACGGUAUCUUACCAGAAAGGGACGGCUAACUACGUGCCAGCAGCCGCGGUAAUACGUAGGUCCCGAGCGUUGUCCGGAUUUAUUGGGCGUAAAGCGAGCGCAGGCGGUUAGAUAAGUCUGAAGUUAAAGGCUGUGGCUUAACCAUAGUACGCUUUGGAAACUGUUUAACUUGAGUGCAGAAGGGGAGAGUGGAAUUCCAUGUGUAGCGGUGAAAUGCGUAGAUAUAUGGAGGAACACCGGUGGCGAAAGCUGCUCUCUGGUCUGUAACUGACGCUGAGGCUCGAAAGCGUGGGGAGCAAACAGGAUUAGAUACCCGCGUAGUC
rnacentral:rRNA from 1 species